UAAGAAUGCUGCUAGACAUCCUACAAUGCACAGGACAGUUUCCCAAAACAAAGAAUUAUCCAUCCUGAAGUGCCAAUAAUGUUGCAAUUGAGAAACUCUGUUCUGGAGGCAGAAAAUCAGUCAAAUCACAAAGCCUAUUUAAUGCAUAAAAUAUCAACAAUAAAACAAUUGAUAAGAGUGGUAAUAUACAUAACAACCUACACAUUAAAACUGUGGUGACAGAGACAGCAAUAAACCUUUCCAGCUUCACUUUAAUUUUUAGGCUUCCCAGGCUGACACAACAGGGGGUUGAGUCAUGUACACAGAAGAUGUUAGUGUGCCUUCCUUGUAAGGAAGACAGAAAGUCAUCUGUGUGGCAGACUGCUUCCUCUGGUUCCAUCACCACCACCAGCACCACAACACUGUUCCAGCAAAAAUUUCCCAGGCAAUAAGACUACCAUUUGUUGGAGCCGUCUCUUUAACCAUUAUAUUGAACUCUGUUGGUGAACAGAGAUCAAAGACUUUUUUCCUGGGCUUCCUGACCUCUAUGUACAUGAGGAGAUGCAAAUGGAUAUUUGAGUUUGAGGCACCACCCAAGCCCACUUACUAGAGGCAUCUAGCCCCCACUAUAAAUCUUCACACCAGAAGCCACCGAGCCACAUCACGCGGUUCCUGUCCUGCACCCGUUGUCCAAGGACUCCAGCUGUCAUUGGACUACUAAUGGCAUCUCAAUAUUGCUAGUCUCUAAAUUAUCCAACUUCCUUGCUGGUUUCCUUAAUCCUGACAUAAGUCUCUAAAUUCUAUCUUCCUUUAUGUCUCGUGUUAUCUAAGUUUGAUAGUUUCUUUCUGGGACUUUGAUUGUUAUAAUGAAUACUCUAUAUGUUACACAUAUUUACAUGUGUUUUACCACUCUAUUCAUGUAAUAACUUAGUUUCUUCAAGCUGCAAUAGUAGAUGAAAUUCUCCACAAAAAGCACCUAUCAGAAGAGGACCAGUCAGGGAGGCAACUUACCGCCAGCCACCACCAAAUAUAUUACAGUAGCUACAAUUCAGUAAUUAAAAGAUUAACUUCCAUAUUAUCAAGAUUAAUAGGGGACAUGAAUAACAAGAUCUCUUAUGACUUUCUACAAUAUAAAACAUUCACUAACACCAAUAAAAUUAAACUAAUCUCAGCACUAGAUCAUUUUGCAUGAACAGUCAUUUCUACUGAUGAUAUGUCUGUCAGAUCACUGCGUUAUUUUUAAUAUAUAGUAGGACAGGAAAUUUAUUAGACAGUUUACAGCGCCGACAAGUUCUGCUGAUCUCAGCAGUGUUGCCAAGCAAAAAGAAAUAUUAUACGAUGGCAGCAUUUGUUCUACACACACAAAAAAAAAUCUAAGCAUAUUUCUCCCUUAUUUAAAUUUGUUCAUGGAAACCAUUUUCUACAGAUAAGUGAACAGUAAAAGUGUUCGCAAUGUGCUACUUUAUUCCUAUCCAGAGCAGACAAAAUGAGAACCAUGUUUUCAUAAAUAAAAAGCAACAGACCAUGUUAUUGCCCUCCUCUUUGAGUCCUCUACCCAUGAGUGUAUGUGCAGUGGGGGAAGGUUCUGCUUCACACUGGACAAUGGAACUCAAUAUUGAUGAAAUUUGCUGAUGGUCAGUUUUUGGAUAAAAUGUUUCAGCACAGAACACAAAGGCCAUGUUUCCUCUAAAUACAGCAGGUUUAAUUUGAUUUGGCUAGUUAAUAAUAAAUAUAAUGAUUGCAAAAGUAAAUCAACUAAGAAAAAUACCACAGUACAAGGAACUUAUGUACUACGUAAUUUCCAACCAUGUUCUCCCCAGCGAAGAGUUUAGUUAAAAUCUUAGUGCACCAGAAGAGUUGCCAAACACCUUUGGUAUGGAAUUCAAAUUUAAAAUAAUUUAGUAUAGCUUGCUUAUAUAAAAAAUAUCUGGAUACAUUAUUAAAUCACUUGUAAAUGCUUCGAUAAUUCACAGACAGUAUAAACUUAGAGGUAAAAGGAAAAAAAGUUGAGGCAUGAUUAAGGCACCUAACAUUUACCCGUAUUCCCUACAUAAGUCAAAUUCAUAGUAAAUUCUGAAAGACUGUUUGAAUAAGUGAUUAUGUUACUUCCAUUGAUAUAGGAAUUUUUCCCUUAUGUGUUAAUUAGAUGCAAAUCUUAGGCAAAACAUUUUCCUCACUACCUAGACUUGGCAUACACAAAUAUAUUUAAAAGAUACCAGUCAUCAAGUGGAAAUACAGCUGGUGUCCUCCCUACUCUCUAUUACAAUGCACUGAAUUUAUGUAAAAUAAAUAACUCUUUAUUAAAUGGAUU
rnacentral:lncRNA from 1 species